CAGUAAUGUGACACCUGGGUGUUGAGGAAUUGACACGACACUGUCAAACCACGCAUCAGAACAGGAAAGGAAGCAAAGUGAUGCUACAGAACAGAAAGAAAGUGAGAAAAAAGGUACCUGCUCUCAGAAGGUCACCAACAUCCUGAGUAUUGAUCACUGGCCAUUAAUACCCUUGCAAAUCAACAUGAGAACUCUGUAAAGGUGAAGUCCAUGUCAGACUAUGAAAUGUCCUCAUUUAGUCAAUGAAUUGGAAAAGAUACCAAGACC
rnacentral:lncRNA from 1 species